rnacentral:lncRNA from 1 species
AUGAUGCCCAGCACAGCAUUGGACACUGCAAAAGUACUUAGUGACAGAGGAAGCAGAAGAGUCAGUGUCAGAGUGCUGCAUGUGAGAAAGACUCCACUGGCUUUGAAGCUGGAAGAAGAGGCCACCAGUCAAGGAAUGCAGGUGGCAUCUGGAAGCUGCAAAGGCAAGAAAAUGGAUUCUCCCGCAGGACCUCUGCAAAGGAACACAGCCCUGCUGACAUCUUGAUACUGGUCCAGGAGACUCAUUUUGGACUUCUGAGCUCCAGAGCUGUAAAAUAAUAAAUGUGUUGUUUUGAACUACUAGAUUUGUGAUAAUUCGUUACAGUGAAAAUAGGAAAUGAAUACAGGGCCCAAGCAUUAGUUAUUUUUAAAAGGUACCAGGUAAUUCUAAUAUGCAGCCAGAUUGAGAACCUCUAAUUCUGAUGAAUGGCUGCUCAUUAGAAUCCCCUAAGAAGUUUUUGAUAUCAUAUCUUCCAUCUACCACCAGGGAUCCAAAUUCACUUUCAAAGUAUCAACUUAUUUAAUCCCUAUAACAACCUUAUAAGAUAGAAAUCAUUAUCAGAAGCACAGCUUUUUUAAGAAAGUUGUCCAAUGUUAUCCAGCUAUUAAGUGAUAAACUUUAAACCUGCACAGGCUGGCUCCCAUAACCACAGUCAUGUUGGCUUAAAUGCUUGUGUUGGGUCUGUUUAGUACCAUUUUAAAAUAUCAUUACAAUUACUGGUUAUUUUCUGAGUUCCCUUUUCUUUUUCUUUUUGCAAGCUCCGCCUCCUGGGUUUACGCCAUUCUCCUGCCACAGCUUCCCAAGUAGCUGGGACUACAGGCCCCCGCCACCUCGCCUGGCUAGUUUUUUGUAUCUUUUUUUAGUAGAGACGGGAUUUCACCGUGUUAGCCAGGAUGGUCUCUAUCUCCUGACCUCGUGAUCCGCCCGUCUCGGUCUCCCAAAGUGCUGGGAUUACAGGCUUGAGCCACUGCCCCCGGCCUGAGUUCCCUUUUCACAGGAAAAGCAGGAAAUUAGAAAUGAAAAGUGCCAGUAGAAAUAAAAACAUUGAUGGAAGGAUACUUAUGAUUGGGAAACUGAUUCUGAGGGAUGAGAAUUGAAAAUAUAAAAUCCUUCCAUGUUCAAAAAUCAUGGAAAUCUGAGGUU